GGGGGGAAACCAUUGACAAAUGUGGUCUCAGUUGGAAUUGGUGCUAGCUUCUUUGGACCUCUGUUUGUGCAUGCAACUCUCCAGACUGACCUGGAAGCAGCAGAGUCCGCAAAAGGACGACAAUUGUGAUUGAAUUCUUUCAUUAUUGGAGUCUUUCAUCUGUAUAUAUAACUGUAUUGAUGCAAGGUGGGAGAAGAAGCAGGUGACUGCCCUUUAUUGUGUUUUGUUAUGGUCCUCUCCUAUUUAAUGGUAGAUAUGAUGUAUAGGUUGAAGCAUGUAAUGUUCCUUUCAGUGCAUAUUUGUGCUUUACGACGUUUGAUGCACACAAAGUUGAACCUCUUAUUCCAUGUAAUACUUUACCAAAGAAGAAUUUAUUAACAUUAGUGUUUUUGCUCUUUUCAGAUUUUAGCCUGGGUAUAUAAACAUACAUGCCACACAUUGUAUUCAAUUUUCAGUGCAAGAUUAAA